GAUGAACGCUAGCGGCAGGCCUAACACAUGCAAGUCGAGGGGUAGCAUAGGAAAGCUUGCUUUUCUGAUGACGACCGGCGCACGGGUGCGUAACGUGUAUACAACCUACCUUUUAGCGGGGAAUAGCCCAGGGAAACUUGGAUUAAUGCCCAUAGUAUAUAGACUUCUCCUGAAGUUUAUAUUAAACAUUUAUGGCUAUUAGAUGGGUAUGCGUCCUAUUAGUUAGUUGGUAAGGUAACGGCUUACCAAGGCAGCGAUAGGCAGGGGUCCUGAGAGGGAGAUCCCCACACUGGUACUGAGACACGGACCAGACUCCUACGGGAGGCAGCAGUGAGGAAUAUUGGACAAUGGGCGAGAGCCUGAUCCAGCCAUGCCGCGUGCAGGAAGACUGCCCUAUGGGUUGUAAACUGCUUUUACAGAGGAAGAACCACCCCCACGUGUGGGGGUUUGACGGUACUCUGCGAAUAAGGAUCGGCUAACUCCGUG
rnacentral:rRNA from 1 species